GAUGAACGCUGGCGGCGUGCCUAAUACAUGCAAGUCGAGCGAACAGACGAGGAGCUUGCUCCUCUGACGUUAGCGGCGGACGGGUGAGUAACACGUGGAUAACCUACCUAUAAGACUGGGAUAACUUCGGGAAACCGGAGCUAAUACCGGAUAAUAUAUUGAACCGCAUGGUUCAAUAGUGAAAGACGGUUUUGCUGUCACUUAUAGAUGGAUCCGCGCCGCAUUAGCUAGUUGGUAAGGUAACGGCUUACCAAUGCAACGAUACGUAGCCGACCUGAGAGGGUGAUCGGCCACACUGGAACUGAGACACGGUCCAGACUCCGACGGGAGGCAGCAGUAGGGAAUCUUCCGCAAUGGGCGAAAGCUUGACGGAGCAACGCCGCGUGAGUGAUGAAGGUCUUCGGAUCUUAAAACUCUGUUAUUAGGGAAGAACAAAUGUGUAAGUAACUAUGCACGUCUUGACGGUACCUAAUCAGAAAGCCACGGCUAACUACGUG
rnacentral:rRNA from 1 species